GUGUCAGCAGCCGCGGUAAUACGUAGGGAGCAAGCGUUGUCCGGAUUCACUGGGUGUAAAGGGUGCGCAGGCGGAUUUGUAAGUCAGAGGUGAAAUCUCACGGCUUAACCGUGAAACUGCCUUUGAUACUGCAGAUCUUGAGUUUGGGAGAGGUUGAUGGAAUUCCAGGUGUAGCGGUGAAAUGCGUAGAUAUCUGGAAGAACACCAGUGGCGAAGGCGGUCAACUGGCCCAUAACUGACGCUCAGGCACGAAAGCGUGGGGAGCAAACAGGAUUAGAUACCCGCGUAGUCC
rnacentral:rRNA from 1 species